rnacentral:rRNA from 1 species
UACGUAGGCAGCAAGCGUUGUUCGGAAUUACUGGGCGUAAAGAGUGUGUAGGCGGUGCUCUAAGUUCGGUGUGAAAUCUCCCGGCUUAACUGGGAGGGUGCGCCGGAAACUGGAGUGCUCGAGCGUGGGAGAGGAAAGCGGAAUUCCUGGUGUAGCGGUGAAAUGCGUAGAUAUCAGGAGGAACACCAGCGGCGAAGGCGGCGCUCUGGGGCCGGUACUGACACUGAGGAGCGAAAGCGUGGGUAGCAAACAGG